UGGGGAAUUUUGGACAAUGGGGGCAACCCUGAUCCAGCCAUCCCGCGUGUGCGAUGAAGGCCUUCGGGUUGUAAAGCACUUUUGGCAGGGAAGAAACGGCGCGGGCUAAUAACCUGUGCUAAUGACGGUACCUGCAGAAUAAGCACCGGCUAACUACGUGCCAGCAGCCGCGGUAAUACGUAGGGUGCAAGCGUUAAUCGGAAUUACUGGGCGUAAAGCGUGCGCAGGCGGUUCGGAAAGAAAGGUGUGAAAUCCCAGGGCUUAACCUUGGAACUGCACUUUUAACUACCGGGCUAGAGUACGUCAGAGGGGGGUAGAAUUCCACGUGUAGCAGUGAAAUGCGUAGAGAUGUGGAGGAAUACCGAUGGCGAAGGCAGCCCCCUGGGAUGAUACUGACGCUCAUGCACGAAAGCGUGGGGAGCAAACA
rnacentral:rRNA from 1 species